AACGAGGCCGACCUGCGGCUGAGUUACCUGCGGAAGGAUCAUUACCGAGUUUACGACUCCCAAACCCCUGUGAACAUACCAAUUGUUGCCUCGGCGGAUCAGCCCGCUCCCGGUAAAACGGGACGGCCCGCCAGAGGACCCCUAAACUCUGUUUCUAUAUGUAACUUCUGAGUAAAACCAUAAAUAAAUCAAAACUUUUAACAACGGAUCU
rnacentral:misc_RNA from 1 species